GAAAUCUGCGACAAAAGAUAGAAGCUCUUAACCCCACUACUGACUGCCAUAUAAACGCUAGUGUGGUUAUGUUUAUAUCCGUGGAGUAAAUAAUAGCUUCCUUGUGCGUACAAAGAGAACAAGAAAAACAAUCGAACGUUCGAUUGACUUUGAUAUUUAUCAAUCCAGUCGUCUUUCGCCUUCCAACGAGUGAACAUCGGAUCGGUAAUACAGGAGUAUAUAAUCCGAGAAUAAUACAAGAUAAUACAGGAAUUUAUUAUCUCCCAAGUGUUAAGCUGGUAAAACAAUCAACUACUUCUAUCGACAAAAAGAUUGGACACCACUGCGUUAGAGCUUGGAGAUCGUAAAACCAGCAUGAUUGACUCACAUAACGUAUAUUUUAUAUGGUAUUAAAGCUCAAUUCACAUUGAUAAUGUUAACACGUUAUAAGCCGUCAAUAUAUUCUGUAAUAGAAAAAAUAAAUAUUUAUUUAUUUUAUUAUAAAUUUUUAGUAGUGGCAAGUGCAAGUACAAUAUAAUAUAGAUGUUAUUAAAUGUUACAUCGACGGUUUGUAAUGUAACAACUUUAUAUGCAAUAUGAAUCCAACUUAAUACUAUAUGAUAUAAUGGCGAACUAGUUUAUAACCAAUUUAUUUGAUUUUACACAAAAAUAAUGAUCUUGUUAUUUCGAUCAUUUAUUUGAGUUUAUUCAUUUGAGUAUUUCAGUUAAUCUUGAUAUGUUAAAUUUAACAUUUAAAUUUGAAAAAAUGAGAGGACACUUAAAAUUGUUCACAUUUUAUUAAAAAGAAGUUAAUAUCUAUUUUGUUAUUAUUAUUAUUAAUGUAAGAAAGAAUUUUUGGGUAUUCUAAAAUAUGUUAUUAAAGAAUUAAAGAAUACAUCUUAGGUUCAGUGCAAAUAUCUUAACUCAAAAAUAAUAAAGACAUAGCAUUUUUUAUAACAUUGAUCGCUGUUUAUAUGUACCUCAGCAUUCAUUAUACAUAUAGAGUAAAAACUGUGGCAGGACUAGCUAGCUAUAAUCUAACACCAUAUUCCAAUCUAUAGAAUCUAUUUAAUUUGUAUUGCACCAAGAUUUUGAUUGGGUUUGAUAUGACCUGUAAAGUAUAUACUUUCAGUUUAAUUAGUUAAUUUUUAUUACAAUGCAAAGCACUGUGAUAAUUUUAGUUACUUUACUUGGCACUUGCAAAAUACAUUAAACUAUAUUGUGCGAAGAAAAACAAUAUUCUCUCCUUUGUUUUAUUGAUGUAAUGAAAUACAAGUAUUAUUUCUUAAGAUUUUGUUUAUGUCUCAUCUUAUAUAUAUUUUUGUUUUUAAUAUUUUAAUAAUAACUAAUGCUAAUUAAUUAUUUAUAGACAACUAUUUUCAUAUUUAAAUACAAUUGUUUAUUUGUUAAUUAUUAUAUAACUCCUAUGUUCUUAUCUAACAAAUAAGAAUCAAGAGUUGCUAUGUUCACAUGUACCGACAAAGUUCUAUCUUUUAUAGAUCACAAAGCAGCAAAAGGAUAUUAUAAUUAUCAUAUUAUUUGACAAUCUAUGAAAGAUAGUCAACAUUAAGUUAUUAAUGUUACAAUAGCAUAAUAUGUACAGGAACCUAAGAGGUGGGAUGGUAUGGGCGGCUUCACUCAACGGAAUGCAACAUUUCUUUUAACGUCUGGUAUCUUGUAAGCGAUGUUGACAGAAAUAUUUCUUUGAUGAUAUUUAACAGAAAACUUAUUUCUCAUAGAUACAAAUUAUAAAAUUACAAUACUUCUAUAUUACAUUGUAAUAGUUCAAAUAACUUAAGCAACAUAUGUGUAUACGUAUUUUCUUUAAAUACAUUUAUAAAAAAUUAUUGCAAAAUGUCCAUAUUUACCAACUUCAUGCGAGCAGUAUAUAAAAACCUGUUAAAGAAUUUAUAACAUAGAAGUAUUGCUCUAAGUUACAAUAACAAUAAUUAUUUUUAUUUCGAGUAUCCAUAAUUUGGCAUAUAAACUACAUGAUGGCGUAUCUGUAUUAAUAUAGUAUUUUAAACUAUUGCACAGCAAAGACAAUUAUUUUAAUACUGAUUGAAAGGAUACGUUAUCAGUACUGUAAUGCACUUAUACGCUGUUUUUUAUACCCGUUUAGAUUAAAUAUCUUCAUGAUUUUUAAGUAUAUUCAAGUAUAAAUAAAAAAGAAAUUUUUUAAAGAAACCUAUCUUAUGCUUACAUAUUUAAUUGAAACAUGUAAUAUUGAUUUAAUAGGAGAUCAAUCAUUUUACUUGUAAUAUAUUAUAAUAGUAAUCUUACAAUAAAAGUAAGAUGGUUUUUGAUGAAUUUAAAAUAAUUAUAGUAAUAUCAAAUGUUUGUUGAAAAUAAUUACAUAUUCAUGUAUAUCAUAAGACAGGCUACUUUAAAUACAUGAAAUAAUUUAUUAAAUCAUUGAUUUAUUAUGACAUUUUCUGAUUUUUCUUAAACAUACGAAAUUGCGGAAUACUCCAGCAUCAAUUUCACAAAGUGAAGUCUAAAUUCACAAUUAAUUUGAAUCAUAGUCCUUUUUAUUUAAUAGAGCGUUUUGUACUAUAUGGGUUUACACAACAAUAUACGUAUGUGCAUGUACAUACAUACCGUACAUUGUACAUUUGUGAUAUAUACCUUAUAGCUUCAAACACAGAUACAUACCCCAUUAUUUUAUUUACACAAUUAAAAAAAGAACAUAUUUUAUUUAUUUCCACAAUUCUAUAAAAUUUCAAGUGAAUACCCAUAGAUAUCUAGUACUUUCACUUUUUUAUAAUUGAAAACCAAACUAACACAUUUGAAAACAAUUUAUAUUUAAUAUAUCUAAAAAUGUAGAUAUAUAUAUAUAUAUAUAGAGAGAGAGAGAAUCGACGAUUGACUAGUAUCUUACUAGUAAAUUGCAUUUAUAUUCUUUACUUUUAUAGCUAUGUCUUUGUGUGGCACCUUUCAUAUAUAUUUGUCCGAAUAUAUACUUACAGGUUUAUCCUAAUUUUGUUUUUAAUGUUUGAUCAAUAAAAAUAUGCGAGAACAUUUUACUUUUAACCAAAAAUAAAAUGUUAGUCUCUUUUGUUAAUAAAUAAUUUAAUUUUUUUUUUUUUUUUU